AUGACAAUAGAUUUCUUGGUGAAGACAACUCGUUAUUUGCUCAACUUCAUCUCACAUUCUACAAGAAAUAGAUCAUAUAUAAUAAACAAAUCAAACACAAUGAGGUAUGAAAUUUCAAAGAGAAUUAAUAUUUACGAUUGGCGUUACCUUAUAAGCCUUCCAUAUAGUGUCUUUAUCUUGUUUUGA